GGCGGAGGGGGCGAGCGUUGAUCGGAAUCACUGGGCGUAAAGCGCACGUAGACGGCCAGAUAAGUCAGCUGUGAAAGCCCCGGGCUUAACCUGGGAAUGGCAUUUGAUACUGUCUGGCUAGAGUAUGGUAGAGGGGGGUGGAAUUCCAGGUGUAGCGGUGAAAUGCGUAGAGAUCUGGAGGAACACCGGUGGCGAAGGCGGCCCCCUGGACCAAUACUGACGCUGAGGUGCGAAAGCGUGGGGAGCAAACAGG
rnacentral:rRNA from 1 species